UGGGAAUUUUGGACAAUUGGGCGAAAGCCUGAUCCAGCAAUGCCGCGUGUGUGAAGAAGGCCUUCGGGUUGUAAAGCACUUUUGUCCGGAAAGAAAUCCUUGGCUCUAAUACAGUCGGGGGAUGACGGUACCGGAAGAAUAAGCACCGGCUAACUACGUGCCAGCAGCCGCGGUAAUACGUAGGGUGCAAGCGUUAAUCGGAAUUACUGGGCGUAAAGCGUGCGCAGGCGGUUUGCUAAGACCGAUGUGAAAUCCCCGGGCUCAACCUGGGAACUGCAUUGGUGACUGGCAGGCUAGAGUAUGGCAGAGGGGGGUUAGAAUUCCACGUGUAGCAGUGAAAUGCGUAGAGAUGUGGAGGAAUACCGAUGGCGAAGGCAGCCCCCUGGGCCAAUACUGACGCUCAUGCACGAAAAGCGUGGGGGAGCAAAACAGGAUUUAGAUACCCCUGGUAGUCCACGCCCUAAAACGAUGUCAACUAGUUGUUGGGGAUUCAUUUCCUUAGUAACGUAGCUAACGCGUGAAGUUGACCGCCUGGGGGAGUA
rnacentral:rRNA from 1 species